rnacentral:miRNA from 1 species
ACUCCCAAUCCUUGUAUCAGUGU